rnacentral:tRNA from 1 species
GGGGAUUUAGCUCAGUGGUAGAGCGCUUGCCUAGCAAGCGAAAGGCCCUGGGUUCGGUUCCCAGCUCCG